UACGUAGGGGGCAAGCGUUGUCCGGAAUCAUUGGGCGUAAAGAGCGUGUAGGCGGCCAGAUAAGUCCGCUGUGAAAUCUCGAGGCUCAACUUCGAGCUGUCGGUGGAAACUGUCUGGCUAGAGUCCGGAAGAGGAGAAUGGAAUUCCUGGUGUAGCGGUGAAAUGCGCAGAUAUCAGGAGGAACACCAAUGGCGAAGGCAGCUUGCUGGGACGGUACUGACGCUGAGACGCGAAAGCGUGGGGAGCAAACAGG
rnacentral:rRNA from 1 species